GUCAUCCCACGCAAAGGGGUACACAGAUGAGGCACACUCCGAUCCAUACACACUGAGCCACUUCUUAGAAGAUGUGGGGAUGGGUGAAGAGAGAGGGGAGCAGGGGGGAGGGAGGACUCAUAUAAGAAGGUGGGUGGAUGGGCGAGGGAGGGUUCAUGAGGGUUCAAGGAGGUUGUAAUAAGCAAAUUGAAUAGGUAGGAAUAAAAUAUCACCUCCGCCAACCACUUGUUCCCAAAGUUCAGAAUCAGUUCUAGGGGUGCUUGAGUGGCUCAGUUGGUCAAGCACCUGAUUCUUGGUUUUGGCUCAGGUCAUGGUCUCACAACUUGUGAUUUCUAGCCCCUCAUGGGCUCUGUGCUGACAGCACAGAGCCUGCUUGGGAUUCUCUCUCUCUCCCUCCUUCUCUGCCCUGCCCCUGCUCAUGCUCUCUCUCUC